AACGUAGCCGAUACGAUACAUCCUGGUGGCGAGUGGCGAACGGGUGACUAUAUAUAUCGGAACGUGCCCAGUCGUGGGGGAUAACGCAGCGAAAGCUGUGCUAAUACCGCAUACGAUCUACGGAUGAAAGCGGGGGAUCGCAAGACCUCGCGCGAUUGGAGCGGCUGAUAUCAGAUUAGCUAGUUGGUGGGGUAAAGGCCUACCAAGGCGACGAUCUGUAGCUGGUCUGAGAGGACGACCAGCCACACUGGAACUGAGACACGGUCCAGACUCCUACGGGAGGCAGCAGUGGGGAAUUUUGGACAAUGGGCGCAAGCCUGAUCCAGCAAUGCCGCGUGCAGGAUGAAGGCCUUCGGGUUGUAAACUGCUUUUGUACGGAACGAAAAGGUCUUUCUUAAUACGAGAGAUUUAUGACGGUACCGUAAGAAUAAGCACCGGCUAACUACGUGCCAGCAGCCGCGGUAAUACGUAGGGUGCGAGCGUUAAUCGGAAUUACUGGGCGUAAAGCGUGCGCAGGCGGUUUUGUAAGACAGAUGUGAAAUCCCCGGGCUCAACCUGGGACCUGCAUUUGUGACUGCAAGGCUAGAGUACGGUAGAGGGGGAUGGAAUUCCGCGUGUAGCAGUGAAAUGCGUAGAUAUGCGGAGGAACACCGAUGGCGAAGGCUAUCCCCUGGACCUGUACUGACGCUCAUGCACGAUAGCGUGGGGAGCAAACAGGAUUAGAUAUCCUGGUAGUCCACACCCUAUACGAU
rnacentral:rRNA from 1 species